GAGGAAGGGUAGUAAUCAGUAGGGACUGCUAAUCCCUAUGCGCCGGGGUUGAAAUCCCCGGCUUCCUUA
rnacentral:tRNA from 1 species